GUGAAAUGAAUAUCAAUGAAAGAAAGGAAAAUAAAGUUUAUAGGGUGCACAGGAGCAGAAUGUGCUGUGUCACGGAGCACCUGCUGAAGGACAUCCAAGAACUGGAUUGCAUGACAAAACAGGAAGUACAAAUGAAACAUAUCUGUAUGAUUGCUACUUUUCCAGAGAAGAGCUGAAGUGCAAAGCAGGUGUUCGUGGUAUGGCAGCAGGAGUUGAACCUUCCUACCAAGAUUUCCUUACAUUUUGUUGCUGUGUGACAGAUGGCAGAAGAGGAGCAGUCUGAGAAAAUGGCAUUUGACAUAGAAGUAAAACUUAUUUUUAGCAUUUGAGGAAGUAGAAUGCAGAAGCCCACUGUAUUUUGCUGGAUUUUGUAAAGGAAAAGAUAAAACAGCUCGCUAGUCAUGAGAUUGGUUCCUUCUUCCUUCCUCCACAGUGUGUGCUCCCUAGACACCUCACCUUCUUCAUUAGCACUGGAAUAAACCUGACCACAAAGGUGGAAAAGGGAUGGAAGACUGAGAAGGAAAAUGAAGUUUUGAAGAAGAGACCAGAAAAAGAAAGGCUGAAAAUGAUUAUGAAGCUCACACAAGAUGUAUAAUGAUUAUCUCUUCUCUGCGUUCUAGAGGAGCUUUACAGAAUCACAGAAUUGUAGG